GACGAACGCUGGCGGCGUGCUUAACACAUGCAAGUCGAACGAAGAGCGAUGGAAGCUUGCUUCUAUCAAUCUUAGUGGCGAACGGGUGAGUAACGCGUAAUCAACCUGCCCUUCAGAGGGGGACAACAGUUGGAAACGACUGCUAAUACCGCAUACGAUCUAAUCUCGGCAUCGAGGAAAGAUGAAAGGUGGCCUCUAUUUAUAAGCUAUCACUGAAGGAGGGGAUUGCGUCUGAUUAGCUAGUUGGAGGGGUAACGGCCCACCAAGGCGAUGAUCAGUAGCCGGUUUGAGAGGAUGAACGGCCACAUUGGGACUGAGACACGGCCCAGACUCCUACGGGAGGCAGCAGUGGGGAAUCUUCCGCAAUGGACGAAAGUCUGACGGAGCAACGCCGCGUGAGUGAUGACGGCCUUCGGGUUGUAAAGCUCUGUUAAUCGGGACGAAAGGCCUUCUUGCGAACAGUUAGAAGGAUUGACGGUACCGGAAUAGAAAGCCACGGCUAACUACGUG
rnacentral:rRNA from 1 species